rnacentral:rRNA from 1 species
AAUAGAUACCCAGGUAGUCCACGCCGUAAACGAUGUACACUAGACCGGUGCCGCUCUGACGCGGUAUCGGUCGGAGUAAAAACGAUAAGUGUACCGCCUGGGGAGUACGGUCGCAAGGCUAAAACUCAAAUGAAUUGACGGGGGCUCACACAAGCGGUGGAGCAUGUUGCUUAAUUCGAGGCAACGCGAAGAACCUUACCUAGGCUUGACAUGCAUGGAUUAACCGGAUGAAAGUUCGGCCACACCCGCAGGGGUGGAACAUGCACAGGUGCUGCAUGGCUGUCGUCAGCUCGUGCUGUGAAGUGUCAGGUUAAGUCCUUUAACGAGCGCAACCCUUAUCGUUAGUUGCUCGGCGCAAGCCAGUACUCUAGCGAGACUGCCGGUGUCAAACCGGAGGAAGGUGGGGAUGACGUCAAGUCCUCAUGGCCUUUAUGCCUAGGGAUGCAGACGUGCUACAAUGGUGCAUACAAAGCGACGCAAGGCCGCGAGGCGGAGCAAAUCGCAAAAAAAUGCACCCCGU